rnacentral:rRNA from 1 species
AGUUCCUACGGGGCGCAGCAGUAGGGAAUCUUCCACAAUGGACGAAAGUCUGAUGGAGCAACGCCGCGUGAGUGAAGUAGGGUUUCGGCUCGUAAAGCUCUGUUGGUAGUGAAGAAAGAUAGAGGUAGUAACUGGCCUUUAUUUGACGGUAAUUACUUAGAAAGUCACGGCUAACUACGUGCCAGCAGCCGCGGUAAUACAUAGGGGGCAAGCGUUAUCCGGAAUUACUGGGUGUAAAGGGAGAGUAGGCGGCAAGGUAAGCGAUAUGUGAAAGCCUUAAGCUUAACUUAAGGAUGGCAUAACGA